AUCCCCCUACAGCCAUGGAUGAUGGCAGGAUAUAUAGAGAGAAUUAGAUGCUGACCACCCCCACCAAAUACACAGAGGUUCAGACAGCUCUCGCCCUAGGCAGUGUCUCCAUCCAGCCACCCUUUGCGCUAAGGGCAUAUACAAUGCCUCCUGCUGUUUGAAACGACACCAUCCAUGGCCGCCACCCCCUCCCAUGCUUGCUGCAGCCAAGGAGCUAGAAGCCCCUGUGAAGGAUCCCCGUGCUCCACCUCUUCUCACAGGCUCCAAGCUGGAGAGAAGGCAGACUAGAGGUGCGAGCAUGGGGUCAGGAUACUCCAGUCUCUCCACGACUGAAAAGCAGAACAAAGCCCUCCCUCGCCCGGCCCUGCCUGGAUGUCAUAAGAGACAACGAAUGGAAAAGGCUUAGAUAGAACCAAGCAACCCACCCAAGGGAGCCCUGUACUGAUGAAAGAAUGGGAUCCCAAGAGUAGCCCUGAAUGGAGAGGGCUGUUCAGAUUUCUGGAAGGCUCACCCAGCCAGAUUGUUAGGUCCUGGAGAAUUUGUUAAUCUGUGGCCCUGGCAUCUGGUCAAUGCCUGACACACAGGCAUGUAAAUUCUUAUUACACUAACUGUGAUCCCAUUCAAUGCCAUAGGUAAGGGCGGACUAGAUCAUCACUUGCCAGCUGCAUAACCUUGGGCAAGCUAUUGAACUGCUUCUCUCUAAAAGGAGGAUCAUAAUAGCUCUUAUCAGAGGGGCUAACACAUACAAAGCACCUAUGGGAGGGACUCAAUAAACGUUAGUCUGCAAUCUCUCUGCACCACUGACCGAGGCCUGGGGAUGGAGUACGCCGUCUCUUCCCCCACGGCCUCUGUGCCUUCCCUCCUGCUUACUAGGAGUUCCUGGAGGCCCCAUGGGCCAGUGUGCUCUGAGAGAUUCUGCCUUAGUUUCUCUCUGGUCACCUUCAUUGGUCAGAUCCAGGCUCCUGAAGGCAGGGAUCAGAUCUGCCUCUUUCCUUCCUCCCUGGGACCUAGAACUGUGCCAGGGACAGAGCGGGCACUCCAGAAAUACUGGUUCCUGAUCUACAGUAGACCCAACAGGAAGCUGGGAUGGUUUUGCAAGAGAGGGAGAGAAGGUUGCAUCCCAUCAAGCCUGUCUGACCUGAACUUGGGGUCUCCUGACUCCUGUUGGACCAUUUCCCAUAAAACCUAUUGUGUCUCACAAAAGAGCUUUUGGAGCCCCUUCUAUGCUCUGGGCUGUGCUGCACCUGAAAAGAAGGCAAUGAGGGGCUUGGAGGAAGUGAAAUGAGAACCAUGAAACCCUGUGGUCAGCACAUACGUGCGUUGAGAACUUAGCAAACUGGGGCAAGAUGCUGCAGGAGCACAUCCAUCAGGAAACUUCUGCGCUCCACACAUCAGUAUCUCUGAGAUUAGGAGACAGACGGGAGGUUGAGGGUGGGGAGAAGGCCUGGGAAUCAGGUCUCCAAGCACUCCCAGUGGGGCCUGCCAACGGUACAAGGAUAGAGUGACCAUCUCCAGAACCCCAGCUACUCCAGUGUCUGGAGAUGGUGGCACAUGUAAGGCAGAUUUCAGUGGACAGGGUGCUGUGGAUGGGAGCCUGGGUCAUCCUGCUGCAUGAAGCGUUCUGCGGAGACAUUGCCCUGAACCUCUGGCUCUCCCCUCUGGCAGGGCCUGCCCGGUUUGUUGGGAGGAGCCCGUUGGAGGGGAGCUCUGGCAUCAUAAGGAAUUACCAGACACUU